GAUGGAUGAACCAGUUAAGUUCAACUCAUUUUACAUUGUACGAUUUACUGUAAGCCUAAAAAUAUAAGUUUAAAUCGAAGAAUCAGUGAAUAUGAAUUAAUGGACUUUACUAAAUAUGUCAUCAAUCAUAGUCUAUUUUGAACAGCUAGGAAGACCGAAAAAGAAGUACUGGAUAGAGGCUAGGGAGAAGAAGCAUAGUCUACAUUAAAUGUAAUGACAGUGAAAAAUGUACAUAAUUACACACAGGUAAAUAUAGGUGUAUUAAAUGUAAUUACAGUGAAAAAUAUACAUAAUUACAUAUAGUUAAAUAUAGGUAUAUUUUAAUAAUUACUGAUUAGCAAACAAAAUCAAUUUUGUCAGUUUUUGACGUUUACUAACUGCAAAAUUGUUUGAAGUUGUUUUUCCCAAUGAUUUAAGCCUAACACUCAGG